UGUUGUUAACACAAACAUAUUCUAACAAAUAAUGCAUGACCAACUUGUUCUCUAAACCUCCUUUUAUACUGUAAACUCUGCUGCUAAACGUUCGAAUGUGUCAUAUUAUAGGAAUCCACCAGAUCUUCAAAUGGAUCUUCUGGGAAGCUGACUUACUAUUAUAUAUUCAUGACCAUGUGAGCACUCUACCUAUUUAUUUUAUUUUGCCUAUUCAAAAUAGAAUUCGUACAAGUUCAUAUAAAAUAAAAAAUAGAUAAAUGCAUGCUCUGUGUGAAGUAUUGGACUAAAAUUCAAAAUAAGGCUUCUAAAGCACUUGGAUUCAUCACAUUUCAGGAUAGUUCUUAAGCAACAUGAUCAGUAACCAACAUUUAGUUUUUCAUUAAAAUAGAUCAUGGACUACGAAUAAGUAGACAAUUUCAUGUCACGUUGAUCACAACUGAAAUAGAGAAAGGUGGACCACAGAAAACUACAGCGGAAAUAUAAGUUAGACAACUAUAUGAGGCCAUGGGCUAGUUGUCUUCUGAUCUCUCACCUGAUGCUGAUGUGGACUUUGAUUUAGCAUUCAACCUAUCCUUUCUCAAUUUUUUUUUUUUGCGGUAUAUAUUACCCAAGGGAUAUAGUAAUAAAAUUAUUUAUAAUGUGAUAUUUGCUAUCAAAUCAUACAUGAUUUAUAUUAAUUGUUUUGAUUUCAUUGAUUUUGUCCAGAGAGAACCUAGUUCAUGAGUAGAUAAACUGCGUUACUAUAAUGAAUCAUUUUACACAAAAACUACUUGAUAUGAAUUUGAGGUUACUUCUCAUCAUGUAAACCAUGUAUUUUGUCCUUAAAAUAUUCUACAGAAGGUCGAAGGAAAGCAUCAGUGACCUGCCAAAUUAAUAAGCUUUAGAUGAUGUCGUGUUUACUUAAAAAUUGUAUGCUUCAAGUAACAUGGCCAAAUAUUGUAGAACACCAAACAAUACCAAGUUGAAAUGGACAGAGCAUCAUAUGAUACAAACUGAUGCUUAAAGAGAUCGGCCCCAUAAAGGAGGAUCUUGCACCGACGUUAAGCUGGACAUAUGGAAACUUUACUUCUGGGCAAGCCCAUGCCAAAGAAAAUGAAACAGUACGAAUUGCUUGAGAUGGUACUGUCACCGAUGCUGCAACAGCAGCUCCAAUAGAUGAUCCUGGCUCCGACAGCAUUGGUGUUUCCAUGUGAUCAAGGUGGCAGAAGGAUCCGUGCUGGCACAAUAUAAAAAUAUAACAAAGUUUUGAACACAAAGUGGGAAAAUUAACAAGUGUCGAGCCUCGAUGUCAGAGUUUGAUUCGCAUGGACAAUAUGUUAUUUAAUGCAACUUCCCUAUUGGUUAACAUAUAACAGUAUGCAUAUCAUGAACAUAUAAUAGAGUUGAUAAGAAAGAGAGACAAUUUCAGAUAAUACAAUUGUAGACAAUAACAGUAAUUCUAAGGGUACAGUUUACAUAA